GAGCACAAUGAGCAGCAUCCCAGCCCGGCGCAGGGAGAGAAGAAAAUGAGGCACCCCGGGAGGGCUCAUAACUUCCUCUCCCUGCACCCCAAACACACAGACACACACACAAUGGAGCCAGCAGGCCCCACAAGCGUUCCCUGGCCCACCCCACUGUGACCAUUUAUGUUUGGGGGGAAACAAGCCUGGUGGGCCAGGAGCAGGGUGACACAGAGUCUCCACAUCAGUCGCUGCCCCUCCCACUCCUUCUGGAAGAAAGGUGCAGCUCGGCAGGUGGCGGUGGCAUCCUGAGCGUCCCCAUGGCAACACUGAGGUCAGACCUCACUGUGGUGACCUCACUCUGGGGCCACUGGACUCAGGCUGGGCCGUCAUCGUCACGACGGGAAAUGGAGGCGCUGUGAAGGAGCUCUCCAGAAAAAAAAGGAAUCUGCCUCUUGGGGUCAUGGCUCUGGGAAACAGUCGCUCCUUACUCGGAUCGUGGCCCUGUAGCUGAGGCCCAUCAUCCCGCCGAAGGCCAGUCCGGAGGGGAGAGGAACCACAGACCUGUCCUGGAUUGCAAAGCCCAUUGUCACCCCUUUCUUGAACUCUGGCCUUGUCGCGUCUCCUCCCUGAGACUCUUGUUUGCUCAGGGUUGUUGUGAAGACUAGCCGGCCCCGCAGGAACGCACCGACGCCAACACACAGAGCCCUGCGAGCCGGAGACGUCUUUGCAG